UUAAGUACUACAGAUUUUUUUAUUUCAGUGAAAAACAUGGAAGUCAAUCCACAUGAUUUACUUUUGCAGGCCACACAAAAUGAUCCAGCGGGCCAGAUCCAGCCCCCGGGCCUCAGGUUUGAAAGUUGUAGAUAAUGUCUAUAACAUAAUCCUCCAGUUUGUGGGACAGAUUAAAGCUGUUCUAAUGUUCUUUUUUCAACUAACUCCACUCACAAUACAUAUGUAUGAAAUGCAAAAAAAGAAAUGCAAUGUAGAAAGUGCAAUAAAAAAAAAAACAAUGCACACUUUCAGGGUAAUAUAGAAUAGAAUGGAAUGUGGAAAGAGAAGUCAGGAAGUAAAUUGAAAAGUCACUGUACCGACUUGGAUCUUUUGUCCAACUUCGUCUCGCCUUCCAUUUACCUCCAAACUUGGACGACGUUUCUUCUUUAUUUCCGCAUGUCAAAUUGGAAAUGAGAAGGAAAAACAAAAACAAAACGCAAAUCCUCCCCUGAAGCCAGGCUCCGGGCCCGGAUCGGCUCGAGUGUUGCGCGCGUGUCCGUCUGAGGGCACCCUCGGGGCCGCCGCCACUACAGCGAAUGAGGAAAGAAUAACCGGGUGAGACUCCUCUCCUUGCAGACUUCUCCGCUCACCGGGCCGGAGAGACUCCGCCCCGAGAUGUCGUUAACCCGGGAGGGACACUCGGAGGCUCCCGCUGGAAGCUCCGCCCCCGGUGGCGCUGGACUGACCAACACGUGAGCGCAGAAUUAGUUCACUGGCCAGGGUAUGAACCUGUGAAAAUCUCACACUCGAGGUGUUGGCGAACUGCGCCGACGUACCGGAGUGACGAAGAAGGGAGAAAAAGACCUGAGACGCUGAACAGGUACAUAGAUAAACGAAG